rnacentral:misc_RNA from 1 species
AAGUCGUAACAAGGUUUCCGUAGGUGAACCUGCGGAAGGAUCAUUAUUACGUAUCCACGUAUCAACCCAAUCGUGAACUGUUUCCCGUCUGAUGAGGAUUUCUGCGACUUUUCAAACGAAAACACAAAUGCAUGUUUGGACUGGAGGGUAGGAACGCAAGUUUCUUCGGAGGGUAGGAACGCAAGUUUCUUCUCCAGUAUAAGUUUGGGUCGGUCCUAAGCUGGGCGCGCGGAUCUUGUAUCUGUGUUAACGGCUUAGCUCAACAGAUGUGGUUUAUCUCCACUCAUGCGCUCAAUUAACCCCUUGUACAAACAAAUUGAACUAAACACUCGCUACCUGAUAAAAAGGGUGGUGAACAACUGAAAUUAAGAAACAACUCUUAACAACGGAUAUCUUGGUUCUC